AGGACAAACGCUGGCGGCGUGCGUAACACAUGCAAGUCGAACGCUCUGGUCUCUUUCGGGAGAGCAGGGAGUGGCGGACGGGUGAGGAACACAUGGGUAUCUACCGUGAGGUGAGGAAUACCGGCGAGAAAUCGCCGACAAGACCGCAUAGCCUCGGUGCAAGUCGAGGAAAGCUCUCUCGAGAGAGGGAGCGCCACACGAGGAGCCUGCGCCCGAUUAGCUAGCUGGUGGAGUAACGGUUCACCAGGGCGACGAUCGGUAGCUGGUCUGAGAGGACGAUCAGCCACACUGGGAUUGAGAACGGCCCAGACUCCUACGGGGGGCAGCAGUGAGGAAUUUCGUCAAUGGGGCAACCCUGAACGAGCAACGCCGCGUGCAGGAAGAAGGUUUUCGGAUCGUAAACUGCUUUUCUCGGGGAAGAGAAUGGACGGUACCCGAGGAAUCGACGCCCGGCUAACUACGUGCCAGCAGCCGCGGU
rnacentral:rRNA from 1 species